rnacentral:rRNA from 1 species
CCUACGGGAGGCAGCAGUGGGGGAUAUUGCACAAUGGGGGAAACCCUGAUGCAGCGACGCCGCGUGGGUGAAGAAGCGCCUCGGCGCGUAAAGCCCUGUCAGCAGGGAAGAAAAUGACGGUACCUGAAGAAGAAGCCCCGGCUAACUACGUACCAGCAGCCGCGGUAAUACGUAGGGGGCAAGCGUUAUCCGGAUUUACUGGGUGUAAAGGGGGCGCAGACGGCGAUGCAAGCCAGGAGUGAAAGCCCGGGGCCCAACCCCGGGACUGCUCUUGGAACUGCGUGGCUAGAGUGCAGGAGGGGCAGGAGGAAGUCCUGGUGUAGCGGUGAAAUGCGUAGAUAUCAGGAGGAACACCGGUGGCGAAGGCGGCCUGCUGGACUGCAACUGACGUGGAGGCCCGAAAGCGUGGGGAGCAAACAGGAUUAGAUACCCUAGUAGUC